rnacentral:rRNA from 1 species
GACGAACGCUGGCGGCGUGCUUAACACAUGCAAGUCGAGCGGUAAGGCCCUUUCGGGGGUACACGAGCGGCGAACGGGUGAGUAACACGUAUGCAACCUACCUUGUACAGGAGUAUAGCUCGGGGAAACUCGAAUUAACCCUCCAUGAGAUCAUAGAAUGGCAUCAUUUAGUGAUUAAAACUCAGGUGGUACAAGAUGGGCAUGCGUCUGAUUAGUUAGUUGGCGGGGUAAUGGCCCACCAAGACGAUGAUCAGUAGGGGACCUGAGAGGGUGAUCCCCCANACUGGCACUGAGAUACGGGCCAGACUCCUACGGGAGGCAGCAGUGGGGAAUCUUGCGCAAUGGGCGAAAGCCUGACGCAGCGACG